rnacentral:lncRNA from 1 species
AGAAAAUCAAAUAGUUUUAACACUGCACAAGGUCUUUUGUAGUCAAGUAGGUGACUGCUCUCUUUUCUCCUUGUUGUGCUUGUUGCAUUGGCUCUAGGCUGAAAUUCAGAAGGAAACUGCUCACAUCACUAGAUCAAAUAAGAUCUCCUAAUCUUACUAAAUUAAAUAAGAGCUUCUUCUACUGACGUGUCUUUUAAUUCAACCAUUUACUCAGUCACUCACUGAUUCACUCAUUCUUCCUUUUAAUUAUUCGCUCAUUCAGGAAACUGUGCACCUACUACCCGCCAGGAAAUGAACCAGGCCAUGAGAACACAAAACAGGCAGACACAGACGGCCCUUGAGUUCACGGAAAGCAGAUUCUCAUGCAGAUCACAUUAACCUCACAGGGCAAACAAGAGAUUAAAGUGCUGGGAAUAGGGAUACCAGACUUGAGAGUUGGAGAGCUUGCCCCUGACCUCUGUCUAUCAUCAUAAAGAAUACACCAUAAGAAGACGUAGUUCAGGAAAUGAAACUAGAGGGCUGCCACACUUUUCAACUUUCUGUCUAUUAAGCAUUACUUCAGAAAGAUUCGGUCAUGUCAGUGAAAAACAAUUCUGAAAUCACGCAAUUACCGAACAGCUCAAGGCAUAUCAUCAACGUACUUGAAAACAAAGGAUUUUCUACUGGCAGUGUGCUUUGCUGUGGCAUCGAUGUAUCUUCUAAGUUGCAGUCACCCUCCAUAGGGCUAUUCACGAAUAUGAUACAUCUUAAACUCUAG